GCCGGUAUAGCUCAGCGGACCAGAACGGCUUCCUUGUAAGAAGCGGGUCGUCCGUUCGGACUGCCGGCACCA
rnacentral:tRNA from 1 species